rnacentral:rRNA from 1 species
AUGAAGCUGACGAUUAAGAGGGUACCCACCGUCGUGUCCAACUACCAGGAAGACGCUGGCGAGCGGCCACGCGGAGGGUGUGGGAGGAACUGCCUCGGACAUUGCUGCCUGCCUGUUUCUGAGCUUCCUGUCUAUGCUUUCAAGGCGAAUCCAACAAAGCUGCCUUUACAGGAGGAUGCUGUUCCUACUGAUUUCUUCAUCAAUCUCCUCCUUGGGCAGUGGGAGGACAGGAUGACCCAAGGCUUAUUUCGAUAUGAUGUCACUGCAUGUGAGACCAAGGUGAUCCCUGGCAACCUUGGUUUCGUUGCCCAACUAAAUGAAGGGCGCCACCUCAAGAAACGUCCUACAGAGUUCCGUGUGGAUCGUGUGCUUCAACCAUUUGACUCUGCCAAGUUCAAUUUCACCAAAGUUGGCCAGGAGGAGGUGCUCUUCCAAUUUGAGAACAGUGGUAGUGAUGACAGCUACUUCCUGAGGAGUGCCGCAGUCACUGUUGCUGAUCGUGCUCCUAAUGUUGUGGCAAUCAAUGUGAGCCCAAUUGAAUAUGGCCAUGUUCUUCUUAUUCCCCGGGUCCUGGACCAUCUGCCUCAGAGGAUUGACCAAGAGAGCUUCUUGCUAGCACUGCACAUGGCGGCUGAGGCAGCUAGCCCAUACUUCAGGCUUGGUUACAAUAGUUUGGGUGCCUUUGCAACUAUCAACCACCUCCACUUUCAGGCAUACUACUUGACAGUGCCUUUUCCUGUCGAGAAGGCAGCUACCCAGAGGAUUCCCCUUGCUGAGGGCGGGAUAAAGAGUGGAGUGAAGGUGUCGAAGCUAAUGAACUACCCCGUGAGAGGGCUGGUUUUUGAGAAAGGCUACACCCUGAAUGAUCUGGCCAAUGUGGUUUCCAGUGCUUGCAUUUGGCUGCAGGACAACAAUGUGCCUUACAAUGUGCUCAUUUCAGACUCUGGCAGGAAGAUCUUCCUCUUUCCCCAGUGCUAUGCUGAGAAGCAGGCUCUGGGCGAUGUGAGUCAGGAACUGCUGGACACACAGGUGAACCCUGCUGUUUGGGAGAUCAGUGGCCACAUUGUACUGAAACGUAGGGAUGACUACGAGGAGGCAUCAGAAGCUUCGGCAUGGAGACUCCUCGCCGUGGUCUCUCUGUCGGAAGCACGCUUUGAGGAAGUGAAGGCCUACAUCUUUGAUGCUGCUUGUUUGGUUCAGUCCCAGGUGGAGGAGGAAAUUGAUGAUGCCAUUUAUGCACCUGUCCCGGUUGGCCCUUCAGCUGUUGGGGAGGGCUGCCUCGUAAUUCCGUGA